rnacentral:rRNA from 1 species
ACGAACGCUGGCGGCGUGCUUAACACAUGCAAGUCGAACGGAAAGGCCCUGCUUGCAGGGUACUCGAGUGGCGAACGGGUGAGUAACGCGUGGGUGAUCUGCCCUGCACUUCGGGAUAAGCCUGGGAAACUGGGUCUAAUACCGGAUAGGAGCCAUUUUUAGUGUGAUGGUUGGAAAGUUUUUUCGGUGUAGGAUGAGCUCGCGGCCUAUCAGCUUGUUGGUGGGGUAAUGGCCUACCAAGGCGGCGACGGGUAGCCGGCCUGAGAGGGUGGACGGCCACAUUGGGACUGAGAUACGGCCCAGACUCCUACGGGAGGCAGCAGUGGGGAAUAUUGCACAAUGGGCGCAAGCCUGAUGCAGCGACGCCGCGUGGGGGAUGACGGCCUUCGGGUUGUAAACUCCUUUCGCUAGGGACGAAGCUUUUUGUGACGGUACCUAGAUAAGAAGCACCGGCUAACUACGUG